rnacentral:rRNA from 1 species
AGUGAACGCUGGCGGUAGGCCUAACACAUGCAAGUCGAACGGCAGCACAGUAAGAGCUUGCUCUUACGGGUGGCGAGUGGCGGACGGGUGAGGAAUACAUCGGAAUCUACUUUUUCGUGGGGGAUAACGUAGGGAAACUUACGCUAAUACCGCAUACGACCUACGGGUGAAAGCAGGGGAUCUUCGGACCUUGCGCGAUUGAAUGAGCCGAUGUCGGAUUAGCUAGUUGGCGGGGUAAAGGCCCACCAAGGCGACGAUCCGUAGCUGGUCUGAGAGGAUGAUCAGCCACACUAGAACUGAGACACGGUCCAGACUCCUACGGGAGGCAGCAGUGGGGAAUAUUGGACAAUUGGCGCAAGCCUGAUCCAGCCAUACCGCGUGGGUGAAGAAGGCCUUCGGGUUGUAAAGCCCUUUUGUUGGGAAAGAAAAGCAGCAGGUUAAUACCCCGCUGUUCUGACGGUACCCAAAGAAUAAGCACCGGCUAACUUCGUG